CCUACGGGCGGCAGCAGUGGGGAAUAUUGGACAAUGGGCGAAAGCCUGAUCCAGCCAUGCCGCGUGUGUGAAGAAGGCCUUCGGGUUGUAAAGCACUUUCAGUGGGGAAGAAAGCCUUGGGGCUAAUACCCUCGAGGAAGGACAUCACCCACAGAAGAAGCACCGGCUAACUCCGUGCCAGCAGCCGCGGUAAUACGGAGGGUGCGAGCGUUAAUCGGAAUUACUGGGCGUAAAGCGCGCGUAGGCGGUCUGAUAAGCCGGUUGUGAAAGCCCCGGGCUCAACCUGGGAACGGCAUCCGGAACUGUCAGGCUAGAGUGCAGGAGAGGAAGGUAGAAUUCCCGGUGUAGCGGUGAAAUGCGUAGAGAUCGGGAGGAAUACCAGUGGCGAAGGCGGCCUUCUGGACUGACACUGACGCUGAGGUGCGAAAGCGUGGGUAGCAGACAGGAUUAGAUACCCUGGUAGUC
rnacentral:rRNA from 1 species